rnacentral:lncRNA from 1 species
AUGGCAGUUGAACCACCAACCAGGAUGACUCCAGCAGAAAACAGUGAGGCUCCACCAUUGGACCACGAUGUCUUCCCCUCUGACACUGCAGCUGACCCAGCAUUGGAUUCAGUGCCCUCACCUCUGCUGACCCCAGAGUCUGACACUGAAUUCACCCUUGAACUCGUGCCUGUGUCUUCCUUGACCCCUCUCGUGUCCUUGUCCCACGUUCCUCCUGUGCCCUCUACCUCUCAUUCCUCCCCCACCUCCCUGACUCCUCCUGUGUCUUCCUUGACCCCUCUCGUGUUCUUGUCCCACGUUCCUCCUGUGCCCUCGACCUCUCAGUCCUCCCCCACCUCCCUGACUCCUCCUGUGUCUUCCUUGACCCCUCUCGUGUCCUUGUCCCACGUUCCUCCUGUGCCCUCUACCUCUCAUUCCUCCCCCACCUCCCUGACUGUGCCUGUGUCUUCCCUGACCCCUCUCGUGUCCUUGUCCCCUGCUGUUACUUCUAACCUCGCUCCUGUGUCCACCCAGCUGGGUACCUCAGACUCAGUGUCUUCCUCGUGGAAAAGACAAAAAAGGAGGAAAUUGGACACUAGUGGGCCAUGCCGAGUUGUUGGUGCAGUGGCAUCCUUGCUCUGGAUGGUGAGUAUGUUACCUGAACUUUACUUUACUGUAGAUGAUUGGGCCUGGGGCAACAGGACUAACACACAUAUAAACAUGUCUACAACUUGUCAAGCAAGUUACAUAGCGGUCAAAUAAUGUUUGUGCAGUGUAGUGCAUUGGAUUUAAGGUAAAAAUACAGUAUACAACAAAAGUAAGUAUACCCCUGUGCAUUAUCACUAAUUGUUAAAUGAUUCAAAAUUGUAUCAUCUUACAAUAAUUGUAGCAUUUUAGGGUAAAGGGUAUGGUAUUUUCUUAUUUUUAGUUCAGACCCCAAAAAGAUAUUAUUUGAAAUAUGGUGUGUUUAACUAUUAACUAUUGAAUGAGGUUUUUAACUACUGUUGUGGUUGGUUUAAACCUUUUAUAAGCUGUAGGUGUUGGGAGCUGCUCUAUAAUGUCAUUGACUUGAGCAAUGGGAAUAAAGCUGAUUCUGAAUACAGAACCAAAUCAAUAUUACUGUCAGUGUAUAGAAUUAAAACGAUCUUCUUAACAUACUGUGAUUCAGAAAAUGAUUUCAAUCUGCUGUUCAAUCUUGAAGGCAGUUGUAUAAGUUUUAUGCCAUAUUUUGAGGUCUCAAUACCUGAUGAUUCCAUGUCUCAUUGUAAAUAGUGCAGUUGCAGCGUAGUACUCCAAACAGUUACGAACAAUGUGAUUAUGUAAACUUUCUGUCUUACAGUGGGGCAAAGUGGAAAAACUCCUGGGAGCCAAAAUAAAAUGUACAAAUUUAACACCAUCUCGAAAAUGCGUGUGUGCAUGUAUUGUUUGUUGCUGUGUGUUCCAUUCAGAAUUGUUUAUAUGAAGAUAUUUUCAUACAUUGUUUUUUUUAUAACUGAUUUUGAUUUGUCAGAUUAAUUCCUGUAGUGAAUCUUGACAAUAUGUUCAUGAGUUCUGUCUGUUAUGUCACUGCUUUAUAAAGUGCAUGAGGUAAAUUUUCUGUAUUUUAGGAGACUGGAUAUUUUUCAAAUAAAACAUUUUGAAAUAACAUACCUGUCGCUGACUGUGUUCCUUCAUAUACACUUGAUUUUAAUGAUUGUUUAAAAUCUG